UACGGAGGGUGCAAGCGUUAUCCGGAUUCACUGGGUUUAAAGGGUGCGUAGGCGGGCAGGUAAGUCAGUGGUGAAAUCCCCGAGCUUAACUUGGGAACUGCCGUUGAUACUAUCUGUCUUGAAUACUAUGGAGGUAAGCGGAAUAUGUCAUGUAGCGGUGAAAUGCUUAGAUAUGACAUAGAACACCAAUUGCGAAGGCAGCUUACUACCCGAAUAUUGACACUGAGGCACGAAAGCGUGGGGAUCAAACAGG
rnacentral:rRNA from 1 species